GGAUGGGUGAGACCGAGACAAAGCUCGAGAGAGGGAGCCAGAGCGGGAGAGACUGUGCGCGGGGACGCUGGCUCCGGGGAGGGCAGAGAAGCCGAUGAAACAAGGAGGGCGGCCGGCACCCCAGAUGCAGAGAGCGCCCCAGAGAUCCCGACAGUUGUUAUUGAAGAUGAUAGGAUUGAUGACGUGCUGAAAACUAUGACAGACAAGGCACCUCCUGGUAUUUAACUCCCCCAAAGACAAUGGGUUAAGGGUGAGGAUAAGAAUAAGAACGGCGCUAACAGUUAUUGGCAAAAAGAGUGUGAAAGGAGGAAGCACUUUGAAAUUUAUUACUAGCUUGCUACCUGCGAUGGAAUCAACAGCCUGUAUGUCGAGUCAGGCCGGGAGACAGAUGAUGAGGCGGGAGAAGGAGGAGGAGGAGGAGGAGAAGGCUCUGGGCUCCUCUGCAAAAAAUAAAAUUAAAAAAAUAAAUAACAAAAUCACUAUAUACACACACAUAUAAAGAAAUAAAGUCUCAGUUGCAGCUAUUUGUCAAAAUUAAUAUCCAUUUCUUUUUAUAUACAGUGAAUGUUGCGCAAUUAUAGAUCCGGAUUUUGAACCACUUUAAUAGUGAAGCGGCAGCACCGGGUGUUUGAGGUGGUGGCAACCUUCGCUGAUUUGGCUGUUCCCAAUGUUUACAUUAUUUAGUCUUGCAAAAAUUAUUCUGUGCACUUGGAUGUGAAAUGCUGUUCAGUUUUAUUUUUUUAUGUUGUUAUCCUUGGAUGUACAAAAAAAAAUACCAGAAAAUGAUCUGUAUAGAUAUUCUGUUUUAUUUUGGUCCUCUUUCAAAGUUAAUCAGGAAUGUGUUGAAGAUAAGAGAACUUUUCUAAGAAAUGAUGGCUACAUAGAAAGAAUCCCUGUUUUAUUUUAAAAUGAAUUGUAAAGCUGUGUUUCUUUCUUGCUGCAAGCUAUUUGCCCAAGUUAAUGCAAAUGGAUACAUUUUUCUAUGUCAGGAAAGAAAAACCAUAAAAAAAACAAAAACAAAGAAAAAAAAAUGCUUGAGCUUUUUCUAAUCUCUCUCUGCAGUCUGUUGGGUGAGCAGCCUGUUUUUUUCUCUGAUAUUGUGUCAGUUUAUUUUCUUUAAUGGACUGUAAAAAAAAAAUGUAAUCACAAGAGUGCCAAAUAUCUUGAAAUGCCAAACGGCAUUUUGGUUUCUUUUCUUUUUCUUUGUGCUCUGAGUCCACGUAAAGGAAUGCUUAGAGUGUCUUUUCUGUUAUUUAUAGGGGUUCUCUUAAGGCACACCAGCUGCCUGUUUUGCAUGGUAUUUGCAAAAAUGCCUCUUGCGUGAGGAAAUCUUUUACCAUCUUUUCGUUUGCAACUUUGGACCUCAAGAGGUUUCUUCCCUUCCCUUCCCUGGUCCUCUUUUCUUAAUUCGAUAUUCUGUAUGUUGCACCUUUAACCAGCACACAGGGCUAUUUCUCCGAUGUACAAUAAAAGAACUGUUCCUGUGUCUCACUCCUCUCUUUUCUCUGCUUUGGUUCUGGGGGAUUUGCUUUUUGCCUGUGAAGCAAAAAGGCAAAGUGGGAGGCACUGUGGACUGGGCUCUGAUGGUAGGAAAGACAAGCUGGACAGCAAGUUCAAAGAGCGAGUUCAUUCACUGUGUGGAUUUUCACUGGGCCUCCUUGCUUCCCUGAGGUUCCUGCCGUCGCUGGUGGGUGUGCAGAGAAGGAGGGCUGGUGUGUAGGGCGGCAGUCUUGUUAAGAACAGUGUUUGGAGGCUGGCAGACUGGAACUCAAAUCCCAGCUCCUUCACUUCUUAACUGUAUGGAUUUGAGCAAGACCCUUCACUUCUUCAAGCCUUUCGAAAUCUGUAACGUGGGGCUAAUGCAGCUCCCACCUCACAGGUUGUUGGGAGGGUUAACACAAUACCUAGCCCUCAGGAUCAUAUGUCCAUAUAAUCCUUUACCGAGGGCCACCUGUCCGAAAAUGCGGGGCCGAGGAAGAGCUAAGCCCCCCUCACCCCCUCUCCUUCCUGAGUUCACUGGUCUUGGCGUGAGGGAUGAGUCUGGUCCUCUGGGGUCCACGGCCUGGGGUGUCUCAGGCUUCCUCACUCAGAAGCUUCCCUGCAACCACCGCUCAAAAAGGCUCCUCAUGAAAAAACUUCUCAGCCCCUCGUGUUCAGGGCGGUUAAUGGCGGUGGAGCAGGCCCCUGGGGAAGGAGGGGUUGGGAGAAGGAUUUUGGCUGAAGAAAGGCUGUUCCACAUCCAGGAGCCCCAGUGCCGGGAGCUUUUAAUGUGUUUGUUGUAAAACUGUCAGCCUGGGAGUCACAACACAGCUCACAGUGACAGGAGCCUGCCUGUGACUCAGACAUCAGCAGUGUCAAGAGAAGUCUCCACCCCCUUCUAACCAGAUUGUCUGAAGUCUUCGCUCUAUGGAUGGAGACUAGCAGGUGAUGCAAGUGACCCACUUAUCUGCGGUUCAACUCUGCCUCCGUGUUGAGCAAGCCACUGUGGUCUAGAUGUAAUCGUGAGUUCCAGGCAAACCGGGGAAAAACAGAAAUGCCACAAGGCCCAAGGAACUGCCUGAUGACCGAUAGAUGGAACCUUACAAAAGAGAAAAAGAAAAAAAAGAGAGAGAUGAAAAAAACAACCAGCACCCUAAUAAAAGCAACUUCCUGUGGAGGGGAGCUGUCACUCGGCUUAG